rnacentral:misc_RNA from 1 species
AACCAUUCUCACCUGCGGCUAGACCUGCGGAGGGAUCAUUAUUGAAUAAAUCUGACAUGGUUGUAGCUGGCUCUUCGGAGCAUGUGCACACCUGUCACCUUUAUCUUUCCACCUGUGAACCCUUUGUAGUCCCAGGAUAACCUCUCGCGCACUCUGGUGUUGCGGAUGCGAAGGUUGUUGUGCCUCUGGCCAGCUCCCAUCGAAUUUCCUGGGUCUAUGUUUCUUAUACACCCCUGUAUG